AUUUUUACGAAGUACUUUCCACAUGCUCUAUCUCACCGAAUCCGCCACAACAAUCGUUUGAAUGCUGGCUCUGCCCUCGCUGGUAUGACUCCCAGCAAGUUCCUUUUUCUUCCAGCCUUAUUCCUCCUUUGUAACAAGGAGUCUUCCAAGACACAACCAACAUCAGUGUCACUGUAGCACUAAAUGAGAUAACACGUGCGAAGCAUUUAAUAGUGCCUGCCACAGUAAUAAUCACUCGAUAGCCAUUAGCUUUUGCUCAUAUUGUUGUCACGUCCACAAACACCACAACUCCAGAGAAUCAAGUGCAUGAGUUGAGGAUCUGGGAAUAUGCAUGCUCUGGAAAGGUCUGCAUGCUUCUGUUGCUUUGAUGGGAAAUUUUCCUAAACCAGAUUCUUUCAAGCGUGAGACUCUGUUGUGGAGUCUAAGAGUUGAUGAGUGGAUUUUGGUAGCAACUCUUCAUGUCAACAGCAUGUGCUGAAGACUAUAGAGAAGCCGUAUUCUGGUUAUUUUUCCAUUCGACAAGUCCUUCUCCAACACCUCCUUUGAGGCAGGCAUUGUAGUGGGAGCUAUGAAUACAGAAGGAAAACAAGAUAGUCUUGGAUAUUAUCGUCAGGUUGUGAUAAAGAAGAAAAAAAUGUAUUCUUCAUGAAGGUCAACAUCUUCCUGUGCAGAAGCACAAUAUAGGAAUUAGAUGUGCUUUACUGCAUAGAAUGAGAGAAACUAUGCCCGGAUUUGUAGGGCCCAUAUUUUUAAGGACAGUCUUUCUCUCAGCGAAGUCUAUGUGCGUGUAUGUGUGGUUGUGCAUUCCCGUGUACACGUAUAAACACAUACACACACCCUCCAAUAAUGGACCUGAAUAAUUGACUAGUUCUUGCUCUCAUUUCUUCCAGUUGACGUUGCUCCUGAUUCUCCAACAGCUUCCCCAACAGAGCAAAGUAACGUCACUGCUGUUACUUCUAGAAGAGCUUGUCUGAAAGAUGAAAACCCCCUGCAGCUCACCAGCACCUUGGCCUAUUACAGCUACCUCCUGCUCCUCCUCGUGAGCGCGGUCUACUUUGCCAUCAUCACCAUCUGUCUGUGUAGGAGAACAGCCGUCUCUGGCAAUGGAAAGAAUUCAUAACAGAUGGGGGGACAAAGAAGUCAACUUUAGUUCAUCAUUUAUUGUCCCUAGAAGUGUCUACUGCGAAUCUACCUUGGCUUUCUCUCUGGGUUUGGGUUAUUCCAGUUCAAAAGUGUGCUUUGCUGUUAUGCCAUUAUUGUGUAAUGGUUUUUCAAAACACUGGGCAAAUAGAAAUUUUUUCUCUAUGACAGCAAUGAACUCUGCCAUUACUCAGGGGCAGGGCCGUGGGGUCGUCCUUUAGCACCACUCUCUCCAUGAUCUCCAUCAGCUCCUCCAGCAAACUGAAUGACCAUGCCUUCUGAGUACAGACAACAUGCAACUCUACUCACGUCCCUUAGGGCCAUUUAACCAGAUGACCACCUUGGAGCCUUCCAUUUUACACACGCAGAAGUCACCAUCAUUGUCACUUAAAUUCUAUACUUCGUUUUUCAUAAUGGGCACAAUAAAAAAAAUGAAAACUCUA
ensembl:lncRNA